CGGCGAUCUGUUGGCGGCGCCGCGACUCGGCCAAAUAGGCGGGCGGUCGCGGGGCGUGACACCGGUACAGAUGGGUAUUUUUACUAACCCGAGGCUCGGGUUUGCUGUCUGGCUGGAUUUGCACCGGUACACUUUUUCGUGUACCGGUACACUUUGCAGUCCGCAAACUGCUUGAACUGGGAGGGUGUUUUUGCAAUUAUAGCUUACCUAUACAUACCCCCCACAGCCCAAUUGAGGCUCUCUUGAGCCUCAAACCGUGGAGAAGAGAAGCUUGAAGCUUUUGUUGGAGCUCUUUUGGAGGAAGAUCUUCAACCUUGGAGGACUUGAAGCCUUGUUGGGAGCUUCAUUUGAGGUUGGAUUAGAGGGCCUCUAACUCCCUUUUAGAGAUCGAGAGAGGUUUCUUCGCAUCCGGGUGCUAAGAGAGUAGCGGGCACCUUCGUCGGCGCGAACGAAGGGCCACGAGGAGUUUCGGUGGGUUUGACUUCAUCGAAAAUAGCAGAACUCUACUUUUGUCAACUUUUA